GAUGAACGCUAGCGGGAGGCCUAACACAUGCAAGCCGAGCGGUAGAGUUCCUUCGGGAACUUGAGAGCGGCGUACGGGUGCGUAACACGUGUGCAACCUACCUUUAUCUGGGGGAUAGCCUUUCGAAAGGAAGAUUAAUACCCCAUAAUAUAAUGAUUGGCAUCAAUUAUUAUUGAAAACUCCGGUGGAUAGAGAUGGGCACGCGCAAGAUUAGAUAGUUGGUGAGGUAACGGCUCACCAAGUCAAUGAUCUUUAGGGGUCCUGAGAGGGAGAUCCCCCACACUGGUACUGAGACACGGACCAGACUCCUACGGGCGGCAGCAGUGAGGAAUAUUGGACAAUGGGUGAAAGCCUGAUCCAGCCAUCCCGCGUGAAGGAUGACGGUCCUAUGGAUUGUAAACUUCUUUUGUACAGGGAUAAACCUACUCUCGUGAGGGUAGCUGAAGGUACUGUACGAAUAAGCACCGGCUAACUCCGUG
rnacentral:rRNA from 1 species